CUUGAUUUCAUAAAACAUGUUUUCCUUUCAAGUGACAUCCCAUGAGAUUUUGCUUCAUAUGAAAAUUCUAGCUUAUAACAGAACACAUUAGGGGAGAAAGAAAGCAACAUAUAAAUGCUGAGUGCAGAAGAACCCUCUGAAUCGUGAAAAUGUGGCCCAGCAGGUAUGGUGUGUUCAAAGAAGAAAGAAGCAAACCAAACAAGCAAGAAAGCAACGAUAGAGGUG